rnacentral:lncRNA from 1 species
GCUGGUGGCCUCCGCGCCCGAGCCAAGCCGUCCGCGGGAUAAAGCGGGGGUCGGGUGGUGGAAACGCAUGAGAGCUCUGCCCCGGAUGCUCCCGGAGCCCAGGCUGCUGCCGGCACACCCGCGCAUGCGCAGUAGACAGCCCCCCCCCCCCCCGGAACUUGAGCCGGCUCUGGGAUCCCCUGGAUGCUCAGUUCUCCUCGGUGUGGAGUCUCUCGUCGCCGCCGCCGGUCCCAGACCCGGAAGGCAGGAAUGCCAGGCUGGUCAGCCCGGAGGGAGAACAGGCCUCUCCACACCGAGCCAGAUGCUCACCACGAAAGGGAGGCCACCGCCCCGCCCCCGACCCGGUCCCAACCCCGCGUCCUAAAGCUCCUCCAGCAGAGCCCGGUAUUCCUCCUCGCUGAGGAGUAGCGGUUCCAGCAAAGCGGGCUCUCCCAAGUCCUGCAGCUCCCCCGGGGCCUCCGUUUCUAAGAAAGGUUGCGCCUGCUGCAGAAACUCUGGGGUCUCCAGGAGCUCAUCCAGCAGGCUGGAGGGGAGUGCAGACGAGCGCCCGGAUGGCUUGCAUCUGCUCCUGCGGCGCGGAGGCCUCCGGAGGCGCGGCCCCAGAGGUGGAGCUGUCCAGACUUGGGAUUCCCACGCCGCCCUGGCGACCUGGGGCCCCUGGCCCCAGCCUCACCACGGACUCCCCUGGGACGUGGGAGGCGCAAGCACACCCUGGCCCUGCGGCUCAGCUCGAGCGGGCCCAGGCUGUCCCACCGAGCAAGGGCCCGGCAGGCUGUGGUGCUGCGGGUCCCGAUCCCCCCGCCAUUGGCUCGGGCGCGGAGGCCACUCCCGGGGAGUCUGAGGGUGGGAGAGCGCCCCUUCCGGAGUCGCCAGGGCAGCGUAGGAAAAAUCCCAAUCCCCGCCUGCCGGGGCAGGAUGGGAGAUCCCUGCUGCCUGCGCAGCCUGGCUGGGCUGCAGCGGGGCGACGGCCCCUGCUCCCUGGCCCACGAAAGCCCCCGGUGGGAGAGCCCCUGGCGCGCAGGGCGCGCACCGUUCCCCACGCCCCGGUGUGGGUGAAGGCGACCGGCGAGGGAGGGGGGGGACACCCGCCGGGGGCCGCGUCGCCCGGGCCGCCUGCGUGCGCCGAUGCCCCGCCACCCUGGCCUGGGUGCCUGGCCCUCCGGUUCUGAAACCAAAUCUGAAUCCGGGACUCCGGGAGGCCCGUCUCUCUGGCCAGUUCUUCCCGGGUGGCGAUGCCUGGAAAGCGAUCCUGCUGGAAGGCUCGCAGGAGCAGGGCGGUCUGGGACCGGGUGACGGCGGUCCGCUUUCGCCUGCCUUCUUGCGGGCCGUGUUUCCCGGGCCAGGGCCGAGAUUCCCGCCGGUGCUGCCUCAGCGGGCGCGAUCUCUCGUUCUGAAACCAAAUCUGGACCCUGGGCUCCGGAAUGCCGAUGGCCUGGGCCAGCUCUUCCCUGGUGGCGAUGCCCGGGUACGGGUUCCGCUCAAAGCAGGCUCGCAGGGCCUCCCUCUGGCUCGGGGUCCAAACGAGUCUCCUUCGCGGUCCUGGUCCUCGGGCUCCCGCCGGGAGGGCGCCGUCGGCAGGUGUCGGGAGCCAUCGCGGGGAGACCUGGCCGGAACUUCGCGGACAGACACGGGCAGAGAGAGGCCGGCGGGCUCCCGUGCCCCUCAGUCGGCCUGUGCACGGCGCGCAGGUCCAGCCAGGAGGCCGGCCCAGCCGGCCAGCGGCUCUCAUAAAGGCCCACAAGCUCCACCCCUUCAGGAAUGCGGGAGGAGCCCUGGGCCAGCCCGCCCUCGGAAGCCGCGAACCACAGUCCCCAGGGCACUGUGGCCUGGGAAUUCUGCGGGGACUGGAAGCUGCUCUUGGGCCUCGCACGCGUCUUCAGCAGGGAGAAGGAUGGAGUGGAGUGUGGGCCUGAACCUCCAUGAGAGUCUUGAGCUUUCCGGGCCCUCUCUCCGGGAAGGAGGCCGUGCCCGUGGGUGUCGCGGUUGCCGUGAUAGUCUCACACACGCAGGUGUGUGGAUCGCGUUCACUUCCACGCAGAACACCAGAGCGAAACCCAGGAGCAAAGCCGCAUCCCGGGCCUCAUGGCCUGAGGAUGGAUUCCUGCAACCUGCAACAUGGGGGGAGUCUCCACUGUGGCUGCUCUGGAAACUGGCAAGGAGAGUGACAACACGGUGCUGGCCUUCCUCGCUUCCCUGGAAGUUUCUGGGUCCCUGCAGAGCUCGGGAAUCAGUCAACAUUGUCACGUUUAUUUGUUUCCAGUUCCUGGACGUUUUCUUAAUUUCCUUUCAAAUACAUUAGGCAUUCUGUGAAUUCCUGUAACUUUUUGGUGAUUUUAAUUGUCUGCAUUAAAUGUUUAAAGUAAAUUAUUUUUCUGAAAAGCAGAAAUAUCCAUAGUUGCAUAUAUGAUUGAAAUAUUUUACACAGAUUUUCUAUGGCAUCUAUCACCACCUCAUGCAAAAUUCCAAGUUUUUUCAUUUGAAACACCCUUCCCAUCAAUAGACCAUAUUGUAAUAAUUUGUUGUACGUGAUUACUUUUAUACCAUUAGAAAAUUAAUUAUAUAUUAUGUACAUAUUUUUGAAAUACUGCAAUGCAAUAAAUAGUAUAUGGUCAGAAGUAUUGUUUUCUCUAACAUAAACCUAAUAUGAGUAAAAUUAUUUACCUGAAUUCAGAUCUUUUGGCUUCAAUUGCCAUUCUGUCUCAUUAGCACUUCCCCAAUCCAUAAAAGAUAUCAGUUGUAUUUUUUAAUUUAUUAUUUAUUGAAAUGGGUUAUUUUACGUUAUAAUGUUUUUAUGGCAAUUUAGAACAUUUUCAAUAAAUAUAGUGAUCUUGAGGCCCUGGCCUCUUGUUUCUGUUUUACCACGUGAGACGCGUACUCCUCUUUCACCGUGAGUGAUUGUGAGCUCCCCAGACCUUCCCGGAAGCAGACACAGGUGC